UGGGGGAUAUUGCACAAUGGGGGAAACCCUGAUGCAGCAACGCCGCGUGAGGGAAGAAGGUUUUCGGAUUGUAAACCUCUGUCCUCAGGGAAGAUAAUGACGGUACCUGAGGAGGAAGCUCCGGCUAACUACGUGCCAGCAGCCGCGGUAAUACGUAGGGAGCAAGCGUUGUCCGGAUUUACUGGGUGUAAAGGGUGCGUAGGCGGGAUAUCAAGUCAGACGUGAAAUCCAUCGGCUUAACUGAUGAACUGCGUUUGAAACUGGUAUUCUUGAGUGAGUCAGAGGCAGGCGGAAUUCCCGGUGUAGCGGUGAAAUGCGUAGAGAUCGGGAGGAACACCAGUGGCGAAGGCGGCCUGCUGGGGCUUAACUGACGCUGAGGCACGAAAGCGUGGGGAGCAAACAGGAUUAGAUACCCUGGUAGU
rnacentral:rRNA from 1 species